UACGGAGGGGGCUAGCGUUGUUCGGAAUUACUGGGCGUAAAGCGCACGUAGGCGGCUUUGUAAGUUAGAGGUGAAAGCCCGGAGCUUAACUCCGGAACUGCCUUUAAGACUGCAUCGCUUGAAUCAUGGAGAGGUCAGUGGAAUUCCGAGUGUAGAGGUGAAAUUCGUAGAUAUUCGCAAGAACACCAGUGGCGAAGGCGGCUUACUGGUCCGGUUCUGACGCUGAGGCGCGAAAGCGUGGGGAGCAAACAGG
rnacentral:rRNA from 1 species